rnacentral:rRNA from 1 species
UGGGGAAUUUUGGACAAUGGGCGAAAGCCUGAUCCAGCAAUGCCGCGUGUGUGAAGAAGGCCUUCGGGUUGUAAAGCACUUUUGUCCGGAAAGAAAUCCUUGGCUCUAAUACAGUCGGGGGAUGACGGUACCGGAAGAAUAAGCACCGGCUAACUACGUGCCAGCAGCCGCGGUAAUACGUAGGGUGCAAGCGUUAAUCGGAAUUACUGGGCGUAAAGCGUGCGCAGGCGGUUUGCUAAGACCGAUGUGAAAUCCCCGGGCUCAACCUGGGAACUGCAUUGGUGACUGGCAGGCUAGAGUAUGGCAGAGGGGGGUAGAAUUCCACGUGUAGCAGUGAAAUGCGUAGAGAUGUGGAGGAAUACCGAUGGCGAAGGCAGCCCCCUGGGCCAAUACUGACGCUCAUGCACGAAAGCGUGGGGAGCAAAACAGGAUUAGAUACCCUGGUAGUCCACGCCCUAAAACGAUGUCAACUAGUUGUUGGGGAUUCAUUUCCUUAGUAACGUAGCUAACGCGUGAAGUUGACCGCCUGGGGAGUACGGUCGCAAGAUUAAAACUCAAAGGAAUUGACGGGGUCAUAGCUGUUUCCU